UGCGGUGAAUGGUGUGGAGGGGGAGCUUGAGCAGGGGUAGGGGAGGGAGGCGAGCGAGUUACUUUUUAGCUUCCGCUAAGUACUUGGCAGCUCGCCAGGCCCAGAGGCUUCUGGGAAGCCAAAGCCUCCCCAGUAUAAACUGCCAGCUUUAAGCAGCCCUGACAGUUCUGCUCCUUCCAAACUUGGCAGCCAUUCAAAGUGCUCUUUCAUUUGAAAUGCUGGAAGCCUGCCAUGUGCAAUGCAGAUUUGCUGUGCCUGUGCGCAGAAGGAACUGAUAAAUGCCGUUGCAGUUGCCAUGGGGACAGGAGGCUAUCAGAAUGGCCUUGUGAUCCGCAGCCUCUCAGCGCGGCAGGCUCUCGCUCUCCCCCCCUCCUCCCUCUAGUCAGUGAGAUGGUGAAAUAAAUGUUCUGGAAAAAGGUUAACCCUCCCCGCUCCGGUCCCGAAGCGAGAGGAGGCAGCCCCGCGGAAGGUGAAUCGCUUAAGCACUUCCUUGGCCUGAGGGCCUAAACCCGGUUCUUAGGUCGGUUGUCAUACCCCCCUCCCCAGCCCCCAGGCCUCCAGCCGGCUCCUGGGAGGAGGUUUGGUUCACAAAGCUGUGUUUUUCAUAGAGAUUUUCAGCAGGCCCAAGUGUAAGGCUUUGAGUCAUCAGAACCCGGAUGUAAACACAGUUCCCGCCCCCCCCCCCACACACAAACACACACGUUCUGCACAGUUUGAGCGUAUUUUAUCUUUUUAAUAAUAUUUAGCUGGCAGCUUAAAACUGCAAGGAUGCCAGAUAUUUUAGCCAGCCACUUACAUCAUGCAGCGUCCAUCUUAGGGAGAGCGUUUGCCUGUCCCCUUCUUGUUCUGUCUCCCGACCCUGAGAAGGCAGGGACUCGAGUUCUUUCUGAAGUCAGCUUAUGGCAGUACAGGAAACCAGGUCCCUUAGAACCCUGGGCUUUAGCGUGAGCAUGACACCACCUCAGGCAACAGUGAAAGAGGGCAUGUUCCUGUCAGACACAAGACACCGCGUGAUUCAAGGUGAAACAGUUUCCAAGCUUGCAUUAUCGGUAACCUGAAAAAUGAUGAGUUUCACCAAAUUCCUGGAUGUUGCACAAGAGGACAAUGAGGCUAUUUCGGGUGCUGUGAGUGUGUCUGGAGCAGACCCUGGAAGCCAUUGUUUUCAGGGAGGAGACUGUUUUGGGGUUUCCUGCAGGAAUAAACGGAGGACCUCAUGAAGUUCCUUACUCUGGAUACUAAUUCUCUCAGUCACAGAGUAUACCCAUGGUGGUUAAUUGUUGCUGCCUGGGUGUCCAGCAAUGCUACUGGAAAGGCAAAGACAGCAUCUUUGGAAGCUCAGGGGACCUCGUAGGAGACUGCCACCCCAGCUUCUCUGCCUCUAACCUGGUGUUACAACCUGCCCACAGAAGUCAAGAAUCAGUGGGCAAAUUCCCAAAUUAAGGUUCUAUUUACUCUGCUGUUCCAGAGGCUUGUUUUAAGCAAGAUGCUGUGGUUUCAUCAAAAACAGUGAGCGCCCAUGAGUAAGUGAAAGUAGCUUUGAAUCUUGACAAAUAUGUUUGAAUUUCAUUUCUUGCGUUUCACUUUGGGGGGUUAGGUCAGUCAGCAUUUUUCUCUGUAAGCCCACUAAAAAACAUUUCUUAUCAGCUAAUAACCUGCCGUUCUGCACCGCUGAAUUGGUAAGGAACCCUGAGUCAAGAAUUUUUUUCCCUGUGCUUCCCCGUUUGCAGAUUUUAGCCAGUUAGGUGUCAUUAGUAUACUUUCCUCCUUGACCUUUCAAGCCAGAGGGUUCCUAAAUGUUACAUAAUAGCUCCACAGCUGGAAUUCAGCUGCUUCUGGAGUGGAGUAAACAUAACUCCUGAUAGGUCAACCGGGUGAGGGAGGGCAGAGAGUCUUGGAAGGUUGGGAAAGUCCUUCUUUCUUUCUAAAGCCAGAGCUCAGGAAUGAGCAGGGCCUCUGGUGUGAAAACUUUCCAGAUGGGGGAAGGAAGGGUAAGCUUUUGCCCUCUGGGUAGAUUCCAAGAAAUCGCUUUGGGGAGGCCAGCUAUUUUGAAAUUGCCUUUAAAGAAAACAGCACAAAUGUUUAAAUUGACCUGGAAAGCCCUUCCUUUUUCCUUUCCCUACAAUCCAAGUCUGUUCCCUUAAACAUUAAUCAACAGGAACAUUUGCCCAAGUUUCUCUCCCCCCGCCACCUCUUUUUUUUUAUUAUUAUUAUCUUUGGAUCAGGAAACUUUUGGAAGCUUUCCCAGGCUGGAGCUAUAGAAUGUUUCCAGGAAAAUGCAUAAGGAGUGUCUGUGUUUUGAGUUUUUCGGGAGGGGGCUGAACAUGUUUUUCAGAGAGACUGAGCUGGGAGCAGCCAGGUCUUGUGCAAGCGUCCAGCCAAGCAAAAGGGCAGACGGUGCCGGAAAGAUCUUUGAGCAUCCAAAAUUGCUGAAACAAAGGUGUGGUUUAGCGGGCCCGCCUGUUCUUGGCCUCUUCCAGCCUUUUAUUAUCGCAGCUGCCAUGAUGUCAGUCUGGUAGCUGGAGGACUCCUGUCUCCAGGAGAUAUGCUGAGAAACGGGGGGCCAGGGCACAAACUUCAUUCUCCAGUUAGCAGCACUUAUAAUUUCUGUGUGAAGGACCCCCCAAGACUUAGAUGGAGUGCAGGGAGUCAAUACUCACCCACUAGGCAGGGGCCCUGCCCAGGCAUGGACCGCAAGGCACAGAAAGUGUCCUUGGGCUGUUGCUGCCAAGGGUGGUGCCACCCCUAGCGCUUGCCAGCACAGAUCUACUUGGGCCUAGAACCCAGACAAAGCUGCAGGCACGCAUAUAUCACAAAUAUCUGCACACAAAAACAGAGAGCCAUCUGGGGAGGUGUGCAUGAGGCCAAGGGUAGAUGGGAACUCACAGGACACCUCACUGAUAGGGGCGGCUCCCAAAGCCAAGGUAGUUGGUGUUUCCUGGAAAUACCCUCUGUUCAGGCUGGGAAAAGAGGCAGAAAUAGCUCGGUAGAGAGGCCACCUGGGACAGGGCAGAGCUGCCCUGUCCACUGUCCCAUGAGAGGGCUGCUUGCUCCUGGGUCAGUCCCCUAUACGUGUGAGGACUGCAACCUCAGGAGAGGAGGUAGCAGCAGGGGCCUACAGUGCUGGAAAUGAGGGGACACAGACCCUGGCUUUCCACCCUCCAUGAGUUUGAAGACUACUUCCCAGUUAACACUGUCAUGGUUCCAGCAGUAAGUCUUUUUCGUUUCUACCCUGGGGAUACACUGACCCCAGAAAGCAUCUCCCCUACAGGAGGCUGGGAAGACGAUUUAUACCCCAGACUUUGAAAUGGUUGUAGCAACAAUGUCAGGCACCUCUUAUGUGUCAGGUAUUGUGCUAAAUGUUUUAAUGCAUUAUCUCUUCUAAUCCUCAGCUAAUGAGGUGGGUUCAGCUAUUCUCUUCUUUUUAAAAAUAAGGAAAUUGGAGCUCAGAGGGGUUAAGUAACUUGCCUUAGGCCACAUAUAGCAUGUGGGAAGCACAAUUUGAACUCAGGGUUGCCUGACUCCAGCAGAAUGUGGAAAUUAUCAAAUGAUACCAUUUAUAUCACACACAAGUAAAGUUUUGCUGAAGAUAAUUAAACAAUUGUUGCAGCAGUACAUCGAUAGGGAACUGCCAGAAAUUCAAGCCCAAUUCAGAAGAGGACAUGGAAUGAGGGAUAUCACUGCUGAUGUCAGAUGGAUCUUGGCUAAAAGCAGAGAAUACCAGGAAGAUGUUUUCCUGUGUUUUAAUGGCUAUGCAGAGGCAUUCGACUGUGUGGAUUAUAACAAAUUAUGGAUAACAUUGCAAAGAAUGGGAAUUCCAGAACCCGUAAUUGUGCCUAUGUGGAACCUGUAUGUAGAUCAAGAGGCAGUUGUUCAAACAGAACAAGGGGAUACUGAGUGGUUUAAAAUCAGAAAAGGUGUGUAUCGGGGUUAUAUCCUUUCACCAUACCUAUUCAAUCUGUAUGCUGAGCAAAUAAUCCAAGAAGCUGGCCUAUAUGGAGAAGAAUGUGGCAUCAGGAUUGGACAAAGACUCCUUAACAACCUGUGUUAUAAGAUGACACAACCUUUCUUGCUGAAAGUGAAGAGGGCUUGAAGCACUUACUGAUGAAUAUCAAAGACCACACCUCAACAUAAAGAAACCAAAAAUCCUCAUGACUGGACCAAUAAACAACAUUAUGAUAAACAGAAAAUAUUCAAGUUGUCAAGGAUUUCAUUUUUCUUGGAUCCACAAUCAAUACCCAUGGAACCAAUAGUCAAGAAAUCAAAAGACAUAUUGCAUUGGGUAAAUCUGCUGCAAAAGACCUCUUUUAUUAAAAAUCAAAGAUGUCACUCUGAGGACUAAGGUGUACCUGACCCAAGCCAUACUGUUUUUCAGUUGCCUCACUUACAUGGGAAAGUUGGACAAGGAAUAAGGAAGACCGAAGGAGAAUUGAGGCCUUUGAAUUAUGGUGUUGACAAAGAAUAUUGAAUAUACCGUGGGCUGCCAGAAGAAUGAACAAGUCUGUCUCGGAAGAAUUACAGCCAGAAUGCUGCUUAGGAGUGAGGAUGGCAAGACUUUGUCUCACUUACUUUGGACAUGUUAUCAGGAGGGAUCUAUCCCUGAAGAAGGACAUCAGGCUUGGUAAAGUAGAGGGUCACUGAAAAAGAGGAAGACCCUCAACGAGAUGGAUUGAUACAGUGGCUGCAACAAUGGGCUCAAACAACAACUGUGAGGAUGGCACAGGACCAGGCAACAUUUCAUUCUGUUAUACAUAGGGUUGCUUUGAGUUGGAACCAACUCAGUCCUACCUAACAGCAAUGACCCCCUCUAUCAUGUGACUUGGAGUGGGGGUGGGGGUCCUGAAUAGUCUAAACUAAACUUUGUAUCCCAAUUCCCUUGCCAGCAAUUUAUUUUAGGAUGGGUCUGUAACCCAGUUCCAGUAAAUGAGAUGUAGAGAGGGGUCUGCUGGGGGAGGAGGAGUUCUAGGCAAUAUUUCCUUGCUCCUAAAACAUGAGAGAAACAAUUGUCCUUCUGUAGCUGGAUGUUAUGUCUUGAGCAAUUGUUGGGACCACAGAAGCUGUCUUGCUGUGAUGAAGGGAGCUACUUUGAGAACCAGGCCAACAUGCUAAUGAUGAUAGAGCGGAAAUGUGGAAAGAACCUGGGUCCUGGUGGCACAGUUGAGCAAAUCAGUUACCUUGUCCUGGAGCCAGCUCCCUCUGCACUAGUUCCUGAAACAAGCGAUCCUUUCAUUCUUCAGUGAGGAAUCCUUGGCUUAACCCAGUAAAGCUGAGGUUGCUGUUACUUGUAGCCAAAAGCAUCCCAACAGAUCAACUUCACAGGGUCGCUGUGAUGACUAAAUAAAAUAAUGUGUGUAAAGUACCUAACACAGUGCCUGGCAUAUAGUAAGUUCUUAACAAAGAUUAAAGACUUUCCUCCUGAGACAUUCUAAGGUGAAUGCAUGAAUGACUGUGACAAAUGGCCCAAAGAACGAGGCAGAGGCAGAUGGUAAUAAGUAAUAAAGCUUAGAGCAGUUCAGAGGUGGGGCGCUGGAAUGACAAUGAAAAUGACGAUGACAAUGAAAUUUAUAUGUUAUGUUCUGAAGCUUCUCCAAUGGAAGCUCUUGGGGCUGUAACAAUAAUUCUCCUUUUUUACUUCUAGUUCCUUUUCUUACCCUGGUCAGAGUUCAACACUGCACUGAACAGGCUUUUCUAAUUGUGGGUGGCCACACUUGCACAAUCGGGGUGGUCCCUGAUUACCCUGAGGCAUGGAAGUCCUGCUACAGGAUGAAGGGGUAGAGUGCAAUUUGUAGCUCCAGGAGGAGCCAAGGUUUGGAAGCAGAACUAACGUACCCACACGACGUAAAAUGGGGCCUGCGAUUUGACUAAAGCACAGAGAGCCCUGCUUCCCCCCACCCCAAGACUGCCCCACGGAAGCCCUGCAGAGUUCUGCAGCUAGGAAAGGUCUGCCUUUGGGGGGCCCCAGGGUUGGGCGGCUUGCCUCACUUUUGGCGGGCUGUCCGGGCCACAGAGUUUUGCUUCAUGCCAGCCCCACAGCCCUUGCAAACCCCAUGCCAGGAGAGCUCAGCCACCCCAAUGUCUGCCAGACUCAUGUCUGCCCAACCACGUGGGCGGCCCCUGGCAGCAGGGGCCUGGGCAGGGUUUGUGCAAGGACAUUGUGGCACCCGCAGCAGGAUUGUGAGAGAGGCCAUGGCUCACUUCAGGGGAAGCCAGGAGGGAACCUGGAGGAGGCGGGAAGCAGAAGCCAUAGACUCAGGGCAGCCUCAGCCCCCUUUUCCAAGGCCAUUUUCACCUUAGAAGACUGUCCCUGGCCCCCUUUCCCUCUGACCUGUCCCUGGCAGUUUACUUCCUGCUUGUCCCUCCCUGUCCAGCUAGGUUUAGCACGGCCCUGCUUCCCAGCACUGACAAUUCAGUUCACCAGACAUUGGUUGAGAAUCCACUCUAUGUAAAAGGCCAUACACCUGCUAGCUACUGAGGGGUGGAAGUCCCUGGGUUGUACAAAUGGUUAAUGUGCUUGGCCUCCAACAAGCCCACCCUGAGCACCUCAGAAGAAAGGCCGGGCAACCUACUACCAAAACAUCAGCCAUUGAAAACCCUGUGCCACACAGUUCUACUCUGACACACGAGGUUGCCAUGAGUCGCAAUCAACUCAACGGUAACUGGCUUUGGUUACUGGGGGAUGAGAGAUACAAAAGCAACAAGAAUACAGUAGAAAGGACUUCAAAAUGGUCUUCUAAUUUCUCUCAGCCUCAGGUCCUUUUUUCUCUCCACAAAAGCCAAAUAUUUAAGAAAGCAAGAAAGUGAGUCUGCUGCAGGUGAAUCUAGGGCAGGUGCGGGCCCCUGUUUACCCCUCCCCCCGAGGCAGACUCCAUGGACAGAAUCUGAAAAGCCUGGCUGUAGACCAGAGGGGAAACUGAGGCCCAGGAAGGUCAAGUGACCUCCUUGAGUUAGUGGUCCAGCACCCUAUGCCCUAUCCAUCCUACUGUGCUGACACGUGGCGCUUGUUUCAAAGCUUUAAACUAUCCUCUGGGGAGAUGAGGCAAGUUAACAGGAAUAGAACGCAAGUGCCUGAGGCGUUAAAGGGAGCAAAAGGUUGGAAAUCAAGGAGGGAAAGGCUCCACAGAAGCGGGGGUGGGGCUGGGCCUUGAAAAGAAGGAGUAGGGUUUGCUAUGGGACUUGGCAGGGCUGGGUGGGGCAUUGGGUGGUAGGAAGGAAGCUACUGCAAGCCCCAGAGAAUACAGGUAGUACCUGAUUUACAAUGGGUUUCCGUUCCAAAGACUGUGUCCUAAAAGUCAGUUCUGAGGUAAGCUGAAUACCUCUUUUUUUAGCUUUCAUUAUUAUUGCCUUUUAUUAUCAGUAUCUUUAUAAAUCCAGUCUUUGUCAGUGAGUAAACAUCUGACAAUGAUAACAUCAGCAAAUGACUCGCUGCAACAUUGUACGUAGUAUAUAUAUUACUAAUGACACGAUGUAAAAAAAAAAAACGGUCAUAAGUGCGUUUCUUGGUAACUCAAACACGUCAUAAGUCAAGGACAAAGAGCUGUAGCCUGUACUAAGAGCUGAAGCCUGAAUGAGGACUGGCAACCAGAGACCUGGGUUCCAGCCCUGGCUCUGUCACUGCAAGCUAAGUGGCCUUGGGCUAGUGGCCUCCUCUCUCUGGGCCUGUUUCCUCGUAUGCAAAAUGCCAAGGGGGAAAGGGGGCUAGAUGGCCAUGCUGUGAUAUGCUCUGGAAUCUUCUCUGCCUCCCAAAGGAUUGGCCUUUGCCUCCCCGCCCCCCCCCCACCACCCAGGACACUCCCCAGUGUGUGCCAGGUGGCUGGAAUUGACACCGGCAGGGAGUGUCCCUGGAUGCCCCAGGCGGGCAGCACAGCGCUGGCAGGCCUCCUCAAGGUGCCUGCCCAGAGCUUUGGGGACCAGUGACAAACCCUGAGGAGGCAAGAACUGGGACAAAACUGGGGCAGGAGCCAGUUCUCUUCUGAGAAGUGUUCUUUCCAAUCCCGCCUCAGCCAGGCAGGACCCCUGCCCAAGUCUGCCCCCUGGAGCAGAAAGGGGGGCUUCCAGGGUAGGGGUGACAAGUUACUUAGCACCAAGCCUCCAUAUUCUCAUUUGUAAAUGGGGUAAAAAUAGUACUUUAGUAUUCUCAUUUGUAAAAUUGAUGCCAUCAACACCUCAAGGCAGCACCUUGAAUGCCUAGUACCGUGCCUGGCGAAGCAACCACUUGGUAAAUAUUUGGUCCCACGUGUUCCUAGAGGGCUGCCUGCUGCGGAAGAGCCCACAAUUUGAAUGCUCCUGACAUUAAACAUGCUGGUUGAAGUAGGGUCCCUUUAUGUCUAACACACCCAUCAUCACAAAUAACAGGAGAGAGUAGGGAACCAUGUGUGUGGGAAGUUAGCAAGAAGUCCACUAGAAAACAAUGUGUUUGUGCCCCCUGCUGGCCGGGAGCAAAGGUGCUGGCCUGUGCAGCUCAGGGGGCCUCCUGGGGGGCUCAGGGGGAUCAUUAUUAACUGGUCCCGCGGCUGCAGGACCAAUUAGCCCAGUAUUCACAGAGCAUUCACCCAGUGUCAGGCCUUGGUAGGGAUACAAACAGAGUGACAGAUAAACUACAUUUUUGGAGCCAACCGGUUUUGGAGUCAACCAGGUGUGGGUUCAGGCCCGGAGACCACUACUCUUUCUGAGUGUCCAUUCAUUCGUCAGAAACAGUUCUGGGUUCCAGGUACAGCAGUGAAGAAAGCUCCUCACAUCUUGGACUUCUUGUAGUGGAUAUAGUCAUCUAGCCCAAGGAACCUUCCCCAUAAACUAGAGAGUAGACAUCCUGGGUGUGGAUCUCAGGGACCCUGUCACUUGGGGGGACUAAAAGUCACCACCAAAAGCCAUGUCUUCUCAAGAGAAACAUCUCCCCUUUGAACCUAGGCAAUCGCUUGGUUGGUUCAUUUGGAAGGGACCCUAUUGUGCUCCUGUGGCUCCCAGUCUCGCCAAGUUCUCUCAUCCACCAGGUACCUGGCCGACCCUCAGCCCCAGGCUGCGUAGUGGUGGAGCCCUAACCUCUAAUGAGAGGCCACUGGAGUGAAUGUGGGCGGAUCAGGUAAACAGGAAGAGCUCCGCAGACAGUGCAUGGAUGGCCCACACUGUUUGGCCCCACAUGAAUAUUUUUCCUGCAGUACUUGAAUUAACUGGACUGGUCAGCCUUAUGACAUCGGCCUGGACAGAACUGGGGCAAGAAUCAUGCCUCUUCUGAGAAGUAUUCUUUCCAAUCCGACCCUCUUCCCUCUUGGGAAGCCCAGGCCUCAGCCAGGCACCCCUGCCUGUGCCUGUCACCUUCCUGGGUCCCUGUUCUUUUCCAGACCACUGGGCAAUUCCUGUCUGGCUUGGCAGGGCCUUGAGGAGGAUGGGGCAGUACGGUCUCACUGAGUUAAUUAUCUACCACCACCACAAUCAUCAAAUUUCCAUCCCCACUGGCCUUUAUUGCACACAUUAUAGAUGCAUGACUUACACGCGCACACACACACACUCAAAGCAAACAGAGGCCUGGAAACCAAUUGAUGCUAGAGGAAUGCUUUAAUACCUGUGCCAACACACAAGCCAAGUUGAGUCCAGUUCAUUUUUUGAAGAUGCCUGUAGUAUCAUCUCAUACCGUGUAUGUGUGUGUGCUGUUGCACUCAUUCAUGUAACAAGCUUUUAAUGAGCUAGGGCCAGGUAAUUGGGACAACGGCAGUAAACAAAUCACACAAAAAUUCCUGUCCAUACUGGAGCUCACGUAAAUUCAAGUGUGUGUGUGUGUGUGUGUGUGCGCGCGCGCAUGCACGCGCAGAGGCGUUAGGACAGAAAAUAUGCAAGUGACAUAACGGGACACUGGAUGGUAAUAUAUGCUAUGGAGAAAGCAAAAGCAGGAAAGGGGCUCCAGUGCCCUUGGAUGGUGUUGUUGUUGGGUGCCAUUGGGUUGACUCUGACUCACAGUGACCCUACAGGACAAAGUAAAACUGCCCCGUAGGGUAUCCAAGGCUGUAAUCUUUAUGGAAGAAGAUUGCCACAUCUUUCUCCUGCGGAGCAGCUAGUGGGUUUGAACCACCAACCUUUCAAUCAGCAGCCAAGCACUUAACCACUGUGCCACCAGGACUUCUUCCCUAGGAUGGGGGGCAAUUUUAAAUAGGAUGGUCAGGGAAGCUCUCAAGAAGGUAACAUAUAAGUUAAGACCUGAAGGAGAUGAGCAAGCUAGCCAUGGAGCUGUUUGGUAGAAGAGGAUUCCAGGCACAGGAAGUUGCAAUGCAAAGGUGGGAACAUGACCAGUGGUCAGAGAGGUGGUUCUGGAAAGAACAAGCGGAGAGCAGUAGAACAUGAAGUUAGAAAGGGAGUCGUGGAGGGGCAGGCAGUGUUGGCCUUGAGAGCUAUUGGAAGGACAUUGGUGUUUUCUCCAAGUGAAAUGGGAGCCAUUGCAGAGUUUUGAGCAGAUGGGUGACAUCAUCUGUCUGUAUUUUCAUGGGAUCACUCUGUAGGUAGGCAAGGGUGGGAGAGCAGGGAGACCUGGCUAUGGGAAGAAUGUAGGUAAAGGGAUGGUGGCUGGGACUAGGGAGGUAGUGGCCAAGGUGGCGAGAAGGGAUCUACUUCUGGAUAUGCUCUGCAGGUAGAACAGAUGGGUUGAGUUAGGUGAAAAAUCAUUCCUUUCGAUGUCUAUAAUGCUUCUGUGUAUUUCGU